CCCGUCGGCCCCUCCUCUUUCUCAAGCCGACUCACCUGCUCUUCUCCCUCGCGCCCCCGUCAUCCCCCAUCUGUGGGGCACCCUCCACCCCGUCGCCCCCUCUCAGGCGACGCCGAGGACGCCGCGUCCUUUGGGAGAAUAUGCAACGAGAAGAGAUGGAGGAACGCCGCAGUGGGGCAUGGAGCUCGCCAAGUUCUCCGCGCCGUCCAGAUUCCCCAUAUAUUCCUGGAAGCUCAGAACCGAUGGCUACAACCCACUGAAAUCUGCCAAAUCAAGGACGCCAUCAGGUCAUACCUGGUCAUUGAUCUCGAUUUUCCAGGGCUGCAUCACUGGAGAGCGAGGUGUUGCAUGCUCUGAAUUCGUAAAGGUACACACGUGUUCUGGCAAGGAGGAGCUUUAUGAUAAAUCAUGCAAUCAUGAGAUUUAUGCGCAAUUUUUGGUCUCUGCGAAGAAUCGGGCCUAAUGUGCGGGAAGGAAGGAGGUGGCAGACUGGCAGUACACUUACAUAGGUAUGUAUAUUCAUCUUGGACUAAUCCUUACACUCAAUUCGUUGUCUUGGACUGCAAAGAUUUGGGUCCAAGUAAAUGUCCUGUGGUAGUGUCAUCGUUUCCAAAUUCAUGUCAUCCUGUGGGAGCAGGCUAGCUCUUAGAUGUUGGAAUGCGCUCCUUUUAGCAAACCAAUGCUGGGGAUUGCUUCCAGGGGUACAGAUGUUAUCGUUAACUUCUGUGAGAUGUUUUUGCACCAAUGUUCUUGAACAUUGUCAACUCAUCAAUGAUCCUUCUAGGAUAGUGGAAAAACAUGCAUUCCAUCUACCAAUACGGCUAUACUUGGGUUGCAACUAAUCUCUUUUUCAACCUGGGUUUCAAAGCUUUGGUCAGCUAGGAGUGUGGUACCUUGAUAUGCGGGUGAUCUUGCUGGCUGGUUCAUCUAGGCAAACAAUCUAGCAACAAAAAUAACUCCAUAUUUUUUUACCUAUUUCUAUAAUUGGCAUGCCACUACAGAGGAACUUACAAGUUGAUAGUCGAGAGGUAGAAGUGAUUAUAAGUUGAUUUUAGCUACCUAUUAAGUUACUUACCACCACCCAGCAAGUUGUAUUAUGCUUAUGAACUAGGUUGUUUUUUUUAUUCUUAUCAAGUUGUGUUAUCCAACAUCCAUUGGAUAGGGUUGUUGUUUUCUUCCUGUUUUCUUUAUUUCUCCAGUGGCAGUCACUCACAAUUUUUUGGUUGUGCUACAUUUUUAUAUGCCAUGAAAUUAUGUCCAUAAGUUGGUCAUCUUGCUUAAUCAAGUUGUUUUAUCAUUAUGGUUAAGUUAACUUCUAAAGUAAUUAAGUUGGUUUUAAUACCAUGCUUAAGUUAGCUUUUGAAAUAAGUUUUUUUUAUACCAUGCUUAAGUUGGCGUUUGAAAGAAAUUGAGUUGUUUUGAUAAUUAUGCAGCAGUUGGCUUCUGAAAAUAAUUUGGUUGUCUUUAUACUUAUACCUUAGUUGCCUUCGGAAAGUAAUCGAGUUGUUUUGAUAACAUGCUUAAGUUGGCUUCUGAAAGUAAUCGAGUUGUUUUGAUAAUUAUAUAUAAGUUGGCUUCUGAAAGUAAUUGAAUUGUUUUGAUACCAUGCUUAAGUUGGGUUUCGACAAUAAUUGAGUUGUUUCGAUAACUAUACCUUUGUUGGCUUCUGAAAGUAAUUGAGUUGAUUCGAUAACUAUGCCUAUGUUGGCUUCUGAAAGUAAUUGAGUUGUUUUGAUAAUUAUGCCUACGUUGGCUUCGGGAAGUAAUUGAAUUAUUUUGAUACCAUGCUUAAGUUGGCCUUUGACAGUAAUUGAGUUGUUUUAAUAAUUAUACCUUAGUUGUCUUUUGAAAGUAAUUUAGUUGUUUCGAUAAUUAUGCCUUAGUUGGCUUCCGAAAGUAAUUGAGUUGUUUCGAUAAUUAUGCCUAAGUUGGCUUCUAAAAGUAAUUGAGUAAUUUUAAUAAUUAUACCUUAAUUGUCUUCUCAAAGUAAUUGAGUUGUUUCAAUAAUUUUACCUUAGUUGUCUUGUGAAAGUAAUUGAGUUGUUUUAAUAAUUAUGCAAAUUGAGUUGUUUCUAUAAUUAUGCUUAAGUUGGAUUGUGGAAAUAAUUGAGUUAGGUUAAUCUGUUUUUUAACAACACCUGGCCAUGCAAGCUACCAAACGACAAGUAACUUUAUGCACUUCUCAGUACAUCAACCCACAAAAAUCUCAGUACUGUACUAAUAUGGUUACAUUUUUCCAGACAAGCAGUUUGCGGUGGUGUCAGCAUGAUCAAGGAAACAGCUAUUCCUACAUCGCUGCUACAACGCAUACACCCAAAGUCAGAUAAUACAUGCUUAGUGUUCAGAAAAUACUAAUAGUUGAAGCUACCGUCUUCUCGGAAACAUAUUUCUGAGUUUUUGUCGCACAAAAGAUAUGUCAGGGAACUACUAGUAGCAUGUUUGAUUCCAGGGAGCCUCAAGUUUGUGUCACAAGUCACAACUACUUACUAUUGUCUGGUUUAUUCACAUUGAUAUAUGUUGGAUACACCUUCUCUCUACAAGUUUUCUUCUACCAUGUCA